AGAGUUUGAUCCUGGCUCAGAUUGAACGCUGGCGGCAGGCUUAACACAUGCAAGUCGAGCGGGGGAAAGUAGCUUGCUACUGGACCUAGCGGCGGACGGGUGAGUAAUGCUUAGGAAUCUGCCUAUUAGUGGGGGACAACAUUCCGAAAGGAAUGCUAAUACCGCAUACGUCCUACGGGAGAAAGCAGGGGACCUUCGGGCCUUGCGCUAAUAGAUGAGCCUAAGUCGGAUUAGCUAGUUGGUGGGGUAAAGGCCUACCAAGGCGACGAUCUGUAGCGGGUCUGAGAGGAUGAUCCGCCACACUGGGACUGAGACACGGCCCAGACUCCUACGGGAGGCAGCAGUGGGGAAUAUUGGACAAUGGGGGGAACCCUGAUCCAGCCAUGCCGCGUGUGUGAAGAAGGCCUUAUGGUUGUAAAGCACUUUAAGCGAGGAGGAGGCUACUAGUAUUAAUACUACUGGAUAGUGGACGUUACUCGCAGAAUAAGCACCGGCUAACUCUGUGCCAGCAGCCGCGGUAAUACAGAGGGUGCGAGCGUUAAUCGGAUUUACUGGGCGUAAAGCGUGCGUAGGCGGCCAUUUAAGUCAAAUGUGAAAUCCCCGAGCUUAACUUGGGAAUUGCAUUCGAUACUGGAUGGCUAGAGUAUGGGAGAGGAUGGUAGAAUUCCAGGUGUAGCGGUGAAAUGCGUAGAGAUCUGGAGGAAUACCGAUGGCGAA
rnacentral:rRNA from 1 species